GACGAACGCUGGCGGCGUGCCUAAUACAUGCAAGUUGAGCGAUGAAGAUUGGUGCUUGCACCAAUUUGAAGAGCAGCGAACGGGUGAGUAACGCGUGGGGAAUCUGCCUUUGAGCGGGGGACAACAUUUGGAAACGAAUGCUAAUACCGCAUAAUAACUUUAAACAUAAGUUUUAAGUUUGAAAGAUGCAAUUGCAUCACUCAAAGAUGAUCCCGCGUUGUAUUAGCUAGUUGGUGAGGUAAAGGCUCACCAAGGCGAUGAUACAUAGCCGACCUGAGAGGGUGGUCGGCCACAUUGGGACUGAGACACGGCCCAAACUCCUACGGGAGGCAGCAGUAGGGAAUCUUCGGCAAUGGACGAAAGUCUGACCGAGCAACGCCGCGUGAGUGAAGAAGGUUGUCGGAUCGUAAAACUCUGUUGGUAGAGAAGAACGUUGGUGAGAGUGGAAAGCUCAUCAAGUGACGGUAACUACCCAGAAAGGGACGGCUAACUACGUG
rnacentral:rRNA from 1 species